UGGGGAAUAUUGCACAAUGGGCGCAAGCCUGAUGCAGCCAUGCCGCGUGUGUGAAGAAGGCCUUCGGGUUGUAAAGCACUUUCAGCGAGGAGGAGGGUGGUGAGCUUAAUACGCUCAUCAAUUGACGUUACUCGCAGAAGAAGCACCGGCUAACUCCGUGCCAGCAGCCGCGGUAAUACGGAGGGUGCAAGCGUUAAUCGGAAUUACUGGGCGUAAAGCGCACGCAGGCGGUUUGUUAAGUCAGAUGUGAAAAUCCCCCGGGCUCAACCUGGGAACUGCAUUUGAAACUGGCAAGCUAGAGUCUCGUAGAGGGGGGUAGAAUUCCAGGUGUAGCGGUGAAAUGCGUAGAGAUCUGGAGGAAUACCGGUGGCGAAGGCGGCCCCCCUGGA
rnacentral:rRNA from 1 species